AGAGUUUGAUCCUGGCUCAGGAUGAACGCUGGCGGCGUGCCUAACACAUGCAAGUCGAGCGAUCUUCUUCGGAAGAGAGCGGCGGACGGGUGAGUAACGCGUGGGUAACCUGCCUCAUACACAUGGAUAACAUACCGAAAGGUAUGCUAAUACAAGAUGAUAUAAGAGAUUCGCAUGGAUUUCUUAUCAAAGCUCCGGCGGUAUGAGAUGGACCCGCGUCUGAUUAGCUAGUUGGUAAGGUAACGGCUUACCAAGGCGACGAUCAGUAGCCGACCUGAGAGGGUGAUCAGCCACAUUGGAACUGAGACACGGUCCAAACUCCUACGGGAGGCAGCAGUGGGCAAUAUUGCACAAUGGGCGAAAGCCUGAUGCAGCAACGCCGCGUGAGCGAUGAAGGCCUUCGGGUCGUAAAGCUCUGUCCUCAAGGAAGAUAAUGACGGUACUUGAGGAGGAAGCCCCGGCUAACUACGUGCCAGCAGCCGCGGUAAUACGUAGGGGGCUAGCGUUAUCCGGAUUUACUGGGCGUAAAGGGUGCGUAGGUGGUUUCUUAAGUCAGGAGUGAAAGGCUACGGCUCAACCGUAGUAAGCUCUUGAAACUGGGAAACUUGAGUGCAGGAGAGGAAAGUGGAAUUCCUAGUGUAGCGGUGAAAUGCGUAGAUAUUAGGAGGAACACCAGUAGCGAAGGCGGCUUUCUGGACUGUAACUGACACUGGGGCACGAAAGCGUGGGGAGCAAACAGGAUUAGAUACCCUGGUAGUCCACGCCGUAAACGAUGAGUACUAGGUGUCGGGGGUUACCCCCCUCGGUGCCGCAGCUAACGCAUUAAGUACUCCGCCUGGGGAGUACGCUCGCAAGAGUGAAACUCAAAUGAAUUGACGG
rnacentral:rRNA from 1 species